rnacentral:rRNA from 1 species
UACGUAGGGUGCGAGCGUUAAUCGGAAUUACUGGGCGUAAAGCGUGCGCAGGCGGUUCUCCAAGUCCGUUGUGAAAGCCCCGGGCUCAACCUGGGAAUGGCAGUGGAAACUAGGGGACUUGAACCUGGCAGAGGGGGGUGGAAUUCCACGUGUAGCAGUGAAAUGCGUAGAGAUGUGGAGGAACACCGAUGGCGAAGGCAGCCCCCUGGGCUGAGAUUGACGCUCAGGCACGAAAGCGUGGGGAGCAAACAGG